AAUAGUGAAAAACCCUUUGAUUGAUCAUCUCGACAUCGACAUGUAUGACCAUGAAAAAUAAAAAUAUUUUAAGUCUCAGAAAUAGUGCAUUUUACAACAUAUUAUCUACACCGUCCAUUUUCAAGAUUUUCAUAUGUUUAUAGAUGACUCGAUUUUAACCAUUUUUGAAAUUUAAAAUUUUAUAAUUAGAUAUAAAAACAGAUUUUAUUUGGGUACAAAAAUAGUGACACUUUAGGAUAAUAAUUUU
rnacentral:lncRNA from 1 species